UUAAGCGACUAAGCGUACACGGUGGAUGCCCUGGCAGUCAGAGGCGAUGAAGGACGUGCUAAUCUGCGAUAAGCGUCGGUAAGGUGAUAUGAACCGUUAUAACCGGCGAUUUCCGAAUGGGGAAACCCAGUGUGUUUCGACACACUAUCAUUAACUGAAUCCAUAGGUUAAUGAGGCGAACCGGGGGAACUGAAACAUCUAAGUACCCCGAGGAAAAGAAAUCAACCGAGAUUCCCCCAGUAGCGGCGAGCGAACGGGGAGCAGCCCAGAGUCUGAAUCAGUGUGUGUGUUAGUGGAAGCGUCUGGAAAGGCGCGCGAUACAGGGUGACAGCCCCGUACACAAAAAUGCACAUACUGUGAGCUCGAUGAGUAGGGCGGGACACGUGGUAUCCUGUCUGAAUAUGGGGGGACCAUCCUCCAAGGCUAAAUACUCCUGACUGACCGAUAGUGAACCAGUACCGUGAGGGAAAGGCGAAAAGAACCCCGGCGAGGGGAGUGAAAAAGAACCUGAAACCGUGUACGUACAAGCAGUGGGAGCCUCUUUUAUGGGGUGACUGCGUACCUUUUGUAUAAUGGGUCAGCGACUUAUAUUCUGUAGCAAGGUUAACCGAAUAGGGGAGCCGAAGGGAAACCGAGUCUUAACUGGGCGUUAAGUUGCAGGGUAUAGACCCGAAACCCGGUGAUCUAGCCAUGGGCAGGUUGAAGGUUGGGUAACACUAACUGGAGGACCGAACCGACUAAUGUUGAAAAAUUAGCGGAUGACUUGUGGCUGGGGGUGAAAGGCCAAUCAAACCGGGAGAUAGCUGGUUCUCCCCGAAAGCUAUUUAGGUAGCGCCUCGUGAAUUCAUCUCCGGGGGUAGAGCACUGUUUCGGCAAGGGGGUCAUCCCGACUUACCAACCCGAUGCAAACUGCGAAUACCGGAGAAUGUUAUCACGGGAGACACACGGCGGGUGCUAACGUCCGUCGUGAAGAGGGAAACAACCCAGACCGCCAGCUAAGGUCCCAAAGUCAUGGUUAAGUGGGAAACGAUGUGGGAAGGCCCAGACAGCCAGGAUGUUGGCUUAGAAGCAGCCAUCAUUUAAAGAAAGCGUAAUAGCUCACUGGUCGAGUCGGCCUGCGCGGAAGAUGUAACGGGGCUAAACCAUGCACCGAAGCUGCGGCAGCGACGCUUAUGCGUUGUUGGGUAGGGGAGCGUUCUGUAAGCCUGUGAAGGUGUGCUGUGAGGCAUGCUGGAGGUAUCAGAAGUGCGAAUGCUGACAUAAGUAACGAUAAAGCGGGUGAAAAGCCCGCUCGCCGGAAGACCAAGGGUUCCUGUCCAACGUUAAUCGGGGCAGGGUGAGUCGACCCCUAAGGCGAGGCCGAAAGGCGUAGUCGAUGGGAAACAGGUUAAUAUUCCUGUACUUGGUGUUACUGCGAAGGGGGGACGGAGAAGGCUAUGUUGGCCGGGCGACGGUUGUCCCGGUUUAAGCGUGUAGGCUGGUUUUCCAGGCAAAUCCGGAAAAUCAAGGCUGAGGCGUGAUGACGAGGCACUACGGUGCUGAAGCAACAAAUGCCCUGCUUCCAGGAAAAGCCUCUAAGCAUCAGGUAACAUCAAAUCGUACCCCAAACCGACACAGGUGGUCAGGUAGAGAAUACCAAGGCGCUUGAGAGAACUCGGGUGAAGGAACUAGGCAAAAUGGUGCCGUAACUUCGGGAGAAGGCACGCUGAUAUGUAGGUGAAGUCCCUUGCGGAUGGAGCUGAAAUCAGUCGAAGAUACCAGCUGGCUGCAACUGUUUAUUAAAAACACAGCACUGUGCAAACACGAAAGUGGACGUAUACGGUGUGACGCCUGCCCGGUGCCGGAAGGUUAAUUGAUGGGGUUAGCGCAAGCGAAGCUCUUGAUCGAAGCCCCGGUAAACGGCGGCCGUAACUAUAACGGUCCUAAGGUAGCGAAAUUCCUUGUCGGGUAAGUUCCGACCUGCACGAAUGGCGUAAUGAUGGCCAGGCUGUCUCCACCCGAGACUCAGUGAAAUUGAACUCGCUGUGAAGAUGCAGUGUACCCGCGGCAAGACGGAAAGACCCCGUGAACCUUUACUAUAGCUUGACACUGAACAUUGAGCCUUGAUGUGUAGGAUAGGUGGGAGGCUUUGAAGUGUGGACGCCAGUCUGCAUGGAGCCGACCUUGAAAUACCACCCUUUAAUGUUUGAUGUUCUAACGUUGACCCGUAAUCCGGGUUGCGGACAGUGUCUGGUGGGUAGUUUGACUGGGGCGGUCUCCUCCUAAAGAGUAACGGAGGAGCACGAAGGUUGGCUAAUCCUGGUCGGACAUCAGGAGGUUAGUGCAAUGGCAUAAGCCAGCUUGACUGCGAGCGUGACGGCGCGAGCAGGUGCGAAAGCAGGUCAUAGUGAUCCGGUGGUUCUGAAUGGAAGGGCCAUCGCUCAACGGAUAAAAGGUACUCCGGGGAUAACAGGCUGAUACCGCCCAAGAGUUCAUAUCGACGGCGGUGUUUGGCACCUCGAUGUCGGCUCAUCACAUCCUGGGGCUGAAGUAGGUCCCAAGGGUAUGGCUGUUCGCCAUUUAAAGUGGUACGCGAGCUGGGUUUAGAACGUCGUGAGACAGUUCGGUCCCUAUCUGCCGUGGGCGCUGGAGAACUGAGGGGGGCUGCUCCUAGUACGAGAGGACCGGAGUGGACGCAUCACUGGUGUUCGGGUUGUCAUGCCAAUGGCACUGCCCGGUAGCUAAAUGCGGAAGAGAUAAGUGCUGAAAGCAUCUAAGCACGAAACUUGCCCCGAGAUGAGUUCUCCCUGACCCUUUAAGGGUCCUGAAGGAACGUUGAAGACGACGACGUUGAUAGGCCGGGUGUGUAAGCGCAGCGAUGCGUUGAGCUAACCGGUACUAAUGAACCGUGAGGCUUAACCUU
rnacentral:rRNA from 1 species